UUAUUAUUUCUUCUCCAGUUUGACAUAUUUACGCCCUAUAAAAUACAUCUUUGAUUCUUUAUUCAAGGAUAAAAUGGUCUGAAUGCGCUAGAAGCACUUUGCUGCUUCUCCUGCUAUCUUUGCUUGUUAGUUAGCUUAGCUCGCUAGUUAGCUUAGCUAGUUAGCUGCUAACAGAAGUUAUCAACACAUCGCUAAGUAGAGAUCAAGUGUGAGAGUAAAGUGUUGUGAUUGUGUGAAAAUGUCUACAUUACACAUGUUGAGAGCGUUGGUGGAUCAGCGACUAACUGCUGCCGUUGAAGAAAUAUUUGUAGUGUUAGAAAGAACGAUAGCAGAAUACGAGGCGGAACUUUCUAGAACAAAAGAGGAGAACAAUCAACUACUGGACGCUGUUUUCAAGAAACAUCAAGUUGUGUUACACAGAACAGGUGGAUUGGACGUUGGCCUGGGAAGGCAUUCCUCUGAAGGUCUUCUUCAUGUGUCAGCUGGAAGUACCCUGACUGCUGUGAGGGGAAACUGAUGAGAUUAUGUCGUAGAAGAACAUCUUCCUCGUGAGCAGGAAGAAGAGCCACAGCCCCACCACAUUAAAGAGGAAGAAGAUGUACCACAUUCCCAUCACAUUAAAGAGGGAGGGGAGGAGCCACAACCCCCCCAUAUUACAGAGGAAGACGAGACGCAUAGUGUUAAACUGUCCCUUCACAUUAAAGGUCAAGCGGCUGACCCACUGGUCUUAAACAGCAAAAAUGAAGAGGAGGACCCACUGACCCCUCACUUUAAGGAGCAAGAGAACCCGCUGACCCCUCACAUUAAAGAGGAAAAGGAGGACCCACUGAACCCCUACUUUAAAGAGGAAGAGGAGGACCAAGAGCCGCUGCACAUUAAAGAGGAAGAGGAGGAGCACCGCAUCAGUCAGCCUAAAUGGUUGGAGGAGUUCCCAGUGACUGGUGUCCCUGUGAAGAGUGAAGAUGAUGAGGUCAAAGGUGAGAGUGAGGAGAAGAGAGAGGCGGAGCCUCCAAGCAGCAGCUCAACACAACACAUGACAACAGAAGCUGAUGGAGACCACUGUGGAGGAUCACAAGCAGACAAGAUCUUAGCUCCACUAUCAGAUAGUGAGGACACAACGUCACACUCUCCUGACACUGAUGAUGAACACUCUAAAGAUGAUGCAACAUGUCACACUGACAACACUCACUUCACAUGUUCUCACUGUCACAAAACUUUUAAAUACCAUUGUCGUCUGAAAACACACAUGAGAACACACA